GAUCAAAUCUGUCUCUGUUCUUAAGGAGCUUAGAGUUUAAUAGGAAGAGGCAGAUCAUAAACACUUAGGAAUAGACUAAAACUUGAAGGAUGGUUCGAUGAAAUGAAGAAGGAAGAUGCUGUCAUAUAUUUUGGUCAGAGAAGGCCUCUCUCUGUGUGACUUGAAAGAAGCCAGGAAAAUAGUCACGAGUUUAUCUGUGAGAAAGGAACUCCCGGCAGAAGGAAGAGCAAAUGGAAAGAGCCUUAGGGAAGAUCAUGUUUAGUCUAUUCCAAAAACAGCAAUAAGGUCAGUGUGGCUGGGAGAGAGAGGGCAAGAAAGAGCAUGGUAGGUUGUGGCAUCAGAGAUGUAGAGGGGGGUCAGAACUUUAGAUUGUGUUCUGAAGUCCCUGGGAGAUUUUUAAAAGAAAUAUAAGAUCUAACUUGUUUUUAAAGAAUCACUCUGGCUUCUUGUGAAGAAUGGACUCAAAGAGAUGGUUAGUGGCAGUGGCAAGAGGUUAUUACGAUAGUCAAGCCAACUAGAUUAGUACAGUCUGAGGUAGAGCCCAUUGAAUGAGUCAGUGGAAGAAUGGAGAUCCUACUUGCUAAAAUGAGAAUGAGUAGAGGAAAAGAAAGUUCAUGGAAAAGUGACCAGACACCAUCAUGAAGCUACCUAGGAAGUAGUAGCCAUCAGUUAGCAUCAGUUAACUCAUUAGGAUACAAAAAGACAUCACUUUAGAGAUUCCAAGGAUUGGGACGAAGACCAAAUAAAUACAUUUCACAAUAUCACAAGGUCAAGAAAACCAAUAGUUUUCUAAAACAAAUUCCAUGUGAACUAAGUUACCUAUCAUCUGUGAAUAUUUUAUCCUGUAAUUGGAUCCAGAUGAGGUAACUGGGGACAAGGAAUCUAAAACAUUCAUCUGGACAAAGUCCACGGAGGGCACAUGAUGCAAUCCGAGCCAAUGACACAUCAGGAGGCAUCGCUGGGAAUCCUGGGGCGAAGACAGACUUUUCUCAUUUGACUUUAACAUGGGAGGAUAUGAUAUGAGUUCUGGAGCUGCUGCCACCAUUACCCUUUUGUAUGAGGCUGAUCCUAAAAUCAGUAAAGCAGAAGACAGAACCAAACUGAAUCUCUGAUAUGGUUUUAAAUUAUUGGUCAAGAUAUAUUUCAUUUGGUUUUCUCAAUUACAUUAGCCCCAACAUCCCAUCUGUGAUUGAUUCCAGCUUGAGUUGGGUUUUAGGUUUAUUACAGACAGAAAAAUGCCCCCCCAUUCCACCCCACCCCACAAAGAUGUCCAGGUGCUAACCGCCAGAACCUGAGACUAUGUUACCUUGCACGGCAAAAGGGAUUUUGCAGAUGUGAUUAAACAGGAUCUUGAGAUCAGAAGGUUAUUCUAGAUUAUCCAAACGGACCCAAAAUAAUGACAAUAGUCCUUAUAAGAGGGAGGUACAAGGGUCAGGAUCAGAGAAGAAGAUGUAAUGACAGAAAUAGAGGUCAGAGUGAUUUGGGUAUUACGACGCAAAGAACAGGGAGAGCCUCUAGAAGCUGGAAAAGGCAAGGAAAUGUAUUUUCCCCUAUAUGCUCUAGAAGGAACCCUCUUGAUUUAAUUCAGAUCUUUGACCAGAACUAUAAGAUAUAAACUUGUGUUCUUUCAUGUAACUUAAUGUGUGGUAGUUUGUUACAGCAGCAAUAGGAAACUAAUAUACCAUUUAUUUCAGAAAGAGUCCUAACCAACACAUAUUUAUACCAGGAUACUAGGUAGAAGAUCAUCAUUUAUUUAAAUAUAAAAGAAAAGAAGAGCUUUCUGUUGGCAACACAGACAUAAAUUUGUUUUCCGUAUCCUAUGUCCUUCUAUCAAAAUAAGCUGAAUUUAUGGCCUGUACUACUCUCAGAACAAGCUGUGAUAUCUGUGAUUAAGUCACUAUGGGAGCUUCUAAAGUUUCAGAAACAGACUCAUUAGAACAGGCAUUCUCAACCUUUGUUCAGCUCGCUACACCCCGGAGGGAUAGUACACACACAUCAGAAACAGUAAAUUUCAAGUAUGUGAGCCUGCUCCCAUUGUGAAUCUCAUCAUUAGCAAUAACUGCCUUAUUGUAGUCUUCGCAUCAACAGGAGAGCAGAGAGCUGUAGCGUUCCAUCUUUGCUAACUUGGCUGCAGAAGAAAAGUGCAGCAUAUUUAUGUGUUGGAAACUUAUCUUAAGUGUUAGCCAUAUUCCCUGCUGGGAAUAUCUGGAGGAUUAUUCCUGGAAUCUCUGCUAAGAAUAUAUUUGUAUGAAGGAUGCAUAAGAUUGCUAAUAAAAACGUCAUCUUCAGGGAAGAGCUCCCUAUGAGUUGUGAGAGGAGAGAAGCAAUUCUGAUUAUAGCAUGGAGUGUGUCACUCAGAUUUGUGCUCUAGCCCAUCCCCAUGGGCUAGAAUCUGGUUCUGGAGAUGAAGAAGCUACAACUCCAAAAAGAUUGAAAUGGCAAGAAGUAUCUUUAGAGGAAAUAAACAUGAGAAAGUACUAAGAUAAACUGGGGCACUGGGACUGGCAAUGAGGAUUCGGUCUUCAGCAGAGAGCCUUGUGUUACUGUUUUCCUACACUGAUGGCUAAGUACCUUAGCUCCAGCAAGGAUGGGAUCCAGCUUCCAGGGGGACAAAUAACAGACACCUCCAGAGGGUUGGUGGCCCUACUGGAAUGCCCAGGGCACACAGCUCCGACAAUGGCAGGAUCCAAGACAGAGCAGGCAAAGAAGACAAGGCCAUUCUUGAAGAGGACUAGGGGAAAUGGAUGAUUUCAGCAUUAUCUGAUGGAAAAAAGAGCCAGGAAAAUACAGCUUCCUACAGUUUGUGUGUCUCAAUGUUUACUUCCAAGGACAAUUUAGGUUAAAUAAAACACAAUGGUUGAUGUGUUUAUUUUUAUUUUAUUCUAAUUUACCUUUUCCGUAUUCACACAAGUAGCCCAAGUCUCCUGCCUCUUCAAUAACCCCCUUCCCCCAUCACACACACACACACACACACACACACACACACACACACACACACUCUUAUUUGAGUCCUUGGUUUGGCUUUUGGCCAUUCAUACUAGUUUAUGAUUUCAAGGAGAACUGGCAUAAAUUGUGAGGGGCAAGGAAGAGAACUUCUCUAUCUGCUCCAAGGGUGGAAAUGGAUAAAGAUUGUUAACAGUGAGGCAGGAGAAUUUGUCCACAUUUGUUCAGAGACACUUUACACAUUUCAAGGCAGAGGGAGAAAGUGGCAAUGAGUAGUUGUGUGUUGUUAAAGGUUGGUUGACGGUAGGGAGCAAAAAACGAUGGGGAAAGACAUAUAAUAUAUUUUUCCAUGUGUAAAAUAAAUUUAUUAUUUUAGUAAUAAUGAGGUAACACCCUUGCUUGGUCACAGUCUAGUAGUACAACAUGAGGCCCCUAAGACCAUGUCUGUAGGAAACAAAGAGGUAUCUUAUCAGGCAGUGAAAAAGAAGAGAAAGCCAAGAGUAAAUGUUGCCUGAGGACCCAAAAUGGUGUCCUUUCCUCUCUGAUUUAUUAGUAAACUUUUAUUUUCCUACAUCUUGAGUGCUUAAAAAUAGUUUUCCAAAUGAAAAAAAGAGUGAGAGAGAGAAAGAGAUAAAAGAAAAAGGAAGGAAAAGGAAAGUAGGAAGGAGAAAGGGAAAGAAGGAAGGAGGGAGGAGGAUUAAGAUGGCCUCAACAUUCCCCUC
rnacentral:lncRNA from 1 species